UACAGAGGGUGCGAGCGUUGUCCGGAAUCACUGGGCGUAAAGGGCGCGUAGGUGGCGCUCCAAGUCUGUGGUGAAAGCUCGAUGCUCAACAUCGAGUCGGCCAUAGAGACUGGAGGGCUCGAGCACUGUAGGGGCGGAUGGAAUUCCUGGUGUAGCGGUGGAAUGCGCAGAUAUCAGGAGGAACACCGAUGGCGAAGGCAGUUCUCUGGGCCGUAACUGACGCUGAGGAGCGAAAGCGUGGGGAGCGAACAGG
rnacentral:rRNA from 1 species